rnacentral:rRNA from 1 species
UACGAAGGGGGCUAGCGUUGCUCGGAAUCACUGGGCGUAAAGGGUGCGUAGGCGGGUCUUUAAGUCAGGGGUGAAAUCCUGGAGCUCAACUCCAGAACUGCCUUUGAUACUGAAGAUCUUGAGUUCGGGAGAGGUGAGUGGAACUGCGAGUGUAGAGGUGAAAUUCGUAUAUAUUCGCAAGAACACCAGUGGCGAAGGCGGCUCACUGGCCCGAUACUGACGCUGAGGCACGAAAGCGUUGGGAGCAAACAGG